CCUACGGGAGGCAGCAGUGGGGAAUAUUGGGCAAUGGGCGCAAGCCUGACCCAGCAACGCCGCGUGAAGGAAGAAGGCUUUCGGGUUGUAAACUUCUUUUCUCAGGGACGAAGCAAGUGACGGUACCUGAUGAAUAAGCCGCGGCUAACUACGUGCCAGCAGCCGCGGUAAUACGUAGGUGGCAAGCGUUAUCCGGAUUUACUGGGUGUAAAGGGCGCGUAGGCGGGGACGCAAGUCAGAUGUGAAACCCACGGGCUCAACCUGUGGCCUGCAUUUGAAACUGUGUGUCUUGAGUACUGGAGAGGCAGACGGAAUUCCUAGUGUAGCGGUGAAAUGCGUAGAUAUUAGGAGGAACACCAGUGGCGAAGGCGGUCUGCUGGACAGCAACUGACGCUGAGGCGCGAAAGCGUGGGGAGCAAACAGGAUUAGAUACCCUGGUAGUC
rnacentral:rRNA from 1 species